GACGAACGCUGGCGGCGUGCUUAACACAUGCAAGUCGAACGAAGUGGCGAACGGGUGAGUAAUACGUGGGUAACCUGCCCUCCUUUUUGGGAUAAGCCUUGGAAACGGGGUCUAAUACCGAAUCAAGGGGGAUGGGCUCGCGGCCUAUCAGCUUGUUGGUGGGGUGAUGGCCUACCAAGGCGGUGAAGGGUAGCCGGCCUGAGCGGGUGACCGGCCACAUGGGGACUUGGAUACGGCACAGACGCAUACGGGAGGCAGCAUUGGGGGAUAUGGCACAAGGGGCGAAAGCCUGAUGCAGCGAGGGCGCGUGGGGGAUGCAGGCUGGCGGGUUGUAAACCUCUUUCGCUACCGAACGGGUAGGUGGCGAAGACGCGCCGGCGAACUACGUGCCAGCAGCCGCGGUAAUUC
rnacentral:rRNA from 1 species